CGUUUUGCAUUUGUUUGGGAUUCGGAAGCAAGAAAAAUAAGACAGAAAAAAAAAUUAAUGUUGCUGUAUAACAAUGAAGUUUGAAUACAUACUUCAUGAAUUGCAGGAUGGCUGCGGUGAGUGGUGAUCUUGCUACGGCUGAACCUCAGAUUGGAAGAACAUUGUGUGCCAAUCAGCUCAGCUUAGUAUGCCAUGUGCGCGUUCCUUUCAAUUUUAGCGCGCUAUUCAGUCCAGUCACAGUAUUGAAGAAAAAUUUUGAGGAGAGCAGAUCCCUUCAUGAUUCCAGGAAGGGGCACUCAGGGUGACCAGCCUCAGUUGUAACCCUUUACACUGUGGAAAGAGUGAAAGCCCUAUUCAAUUAGGAGAGGAGUCCAAUAAAUCAAGAAUACGUGAAGCACAUCAACUCAGGAUGUCACAAAGUCUCUUCAGAAGACAGUGAAAGAGAAAUUUAACCUUCUCCUUUACAGAAUCAGCUGUGACAGCCUUUGAAGGACACAUAUGUGGAGCAGCAAUAUUCUUUUGCAAAUUAGAUAACUGAGGACUGUGAAAAAUUAACAGUGGGUAAGUAUCAGAUCUGGUUUAUUGAUGAAGCACACUUCCAUCUCCAUGGGUAUGCCAACAAACAAAACUCGUCUGAACCCUCAGUUCAAGCUGCUGCUUCACUUCAUCCACAAAAUGUCUCUGUUAGAUACAGCAUUAAUUUGUAAACCUGCAUAAUGGCACUGAAUCCUUCAUUACUACAGGCUGAUGCAAGCUGGAGCAAGUCCAUACCACACUGCAGACAGCUUUGAUUUCCUUCAGGCGAUGUUCAAAGAUGUGACUGUUGCUCCGGACACCUUAGCAUUCACUGGACAUGGUGUGGAAUGCCCCCUUCCGGUCCUGAUCUCAACCUGUGUGAUUAUUUCUUAUGGAGUUAUCUAAAGGACAGAGUUUUCAAAGUUGCAACUGCAACACUCUAGGAUCUUUGUACAGCAAUUUCCAGGGAGAUUUGUGCAGUUUAAAAUAAUGAUCUUAAAAAAGUUGUCAUGAAUUUCAGUUCAACACUGUAUGCACUCAUUUCUGCAAUAAGAAAACAUUUUGAAAAUCUUCUGCAUUAAAUUUCAGGUUGUUUUCUGUAACAUAAAUAUUACAACAAAUCUAUCACCUCAUAUUACAUUGUAGUAGACAAAAACUUCCUAACACCUAUUUUGUGCCACAUUGUAGCACAAUAACUUCAGUUUGUUGAUAUUUUAGGUUAAAUUUAGGUGAUAAAUUCGCUUGCACAGUGCUUACUUGCUGCAGUUUUGCCUUGAAAAUGGCUGGUGUGCUCAUGCCGAAAUAUCGGCAGUUGUCGAUGACAUCUCCUGGCUGCAUUCCCGUAACUUAUUAGAACAAUGUAUACGCUGGGAGAAACUAAGGUCUCACAUUGUUUACUUCUUUGGGGAGAAAAAAUAAUAUUGCUUGUGGAGGUUCAAUAAACAUAGCAGCACUGAAGUAAGAUUGCAAUGUGUGUUGUCGCUUUUGCUGAGGAGUCUUGAUCAAAAUAUUGUUCCAAUGUUUUCCAAAGUUGCCCAUCAUUUUAAUUCUCCUGCCACCAAUUGCACCGAGAAACAUGAUGGCCUAGCUCUUGUUCAUGAAAGAACCAUUACACUCGUUGUCAGUUGGACUUGUUUUGGCUUCCUUGCUUGUUGGCUUCAAAAAUCUCAGCUUUUUCUUGGGACUGGCUGGACAGUGCUUCAUGGUUGCAGUCUGACUGGGAAUUUCAUUCAGUAACUGCCUGGCAUUUGGCAAAGUUUGAACGUUUCUGUGGCUCAGAGUCUAAUACUAUAUCUAGACAUUCUGUGGUAAAUCUCAUAGAAAAGCUUUUGACAAUGCAGCUUUAUCCAUGCUAUGGAAUGGUUUAAAUCUUGCACCAACACCCAAGUGUUUGUCAGGGGUUUAUUUUAUUAGUCCAGUUGAAGAGACUGUUUUUAAACUACCUCCUGAUGUUGCAGAGGAGGCUAGGACUGGGGCUUGUCCAACCAAGAGUAAUAUCACAGCGGCUGAGAGGGCUCAUGGCCUCCCCAAGGUCCAGAAGGAGGGGUCCUCUUCAUCUGAUUCUAUGACUAGCCGCGGGAGCCCUGUACCUCUAUUGGAGGAUACCUUUCUAUUCAUGGAGAGGGAUGGUCGACCGCAGUGUCUUGAAUGUCCAAGUAUUUAAUUCUGCGAAGAGGUACAAUAUGCAGUGACAUUAUACACGUCUUCAUGCAGCACACUACGAUCAGGUAGAAGGCGUUGCAAGCAGACAACUGGAAGCCAGGCUUAAGAACGACAUACCAGGAGACGUGAAUGAGAGCAGAGAAAACACUACUGAAUCUGCAAUUCGAGCAAGCUACAGGGCCGCUCACAUCAUUGCGACGAGUGGCAAGCCGUUUUCGGUGGGACCACUUGUAAAAUCGUGCAUGGUAGCAGUUGCAGAAUGUUUGUUUCCAAGGGAGGUGCAGGCAAUUGAAGGGGUUUGCCUGUCGAAGCAAACAAUGUCUCGUCAAAUCCUGGACAUGGCAGCGGAUUUAGACACACAGCUCAGGAAAAAAGCAGAGAGCUUUGUUGCAUUUUCGCUAGCACUUGACAAAAGCACCGACAUAUCGGACUGUGCUGAGCUUGCAGCUAAUCGUUGACAUGGAUGACCAGAUCCAUGGAAAAUUUAUGUUUAUUUGAGAGGCAGAUGAGUAAUGGACAUUUAACGUUCUUCAAUUGUCUUGCUUCUUUAAAACUACCUGAAGGUAGUACUUUCGGCGAUUACGAAGCAAAGUUAAAUCAGCUCAUCACAUCGUUUGAAACACAAUUCAGAGACCUCACUAGUUUGGAAAUGGAACUUAAGGUGUUCAGCACCCCUUUUCCAGUUUUCCCUGAUGACUUGUCAUCGUUACCUCAAUUGGAGAGUAUUGAUUUGCAAAAUUCAACUUUGUUGAAAGAGAGGUACUACAACACGUUAGAUUUGUCACGAUUGUAACAUUCAUUACAGCAAAAGGCAUUUCCCAAGCUUCACAACAAUGCCACUCAGAUAUUGUGCAUGUUUGGAUCUACAUAUUGUUGUGAGCAGCUUUUCUCAGCAAUGAAAAGAGUAAAAAGUAAGGAACGAUCGUUUCUUCAGGAUGCAACAAUGAAGGCCAUCCUCCGCAUUAACGCUGCAAACACUUUGACAUCUAAUAUUUCCGAUCUUGUAAUGAAAAGAAAAUGUCAAGCUACAGAGGCCCAAUAAAUUUAGUAUGCAACUUCUUGUAAAACAGUUGUUUCUUAUUUAUUUCCUGGACAUUGUAUUUCCUGGUGUAGCUUGUCACCAUGUCG